rnacentral:lncRNA from 1 species
CAUUGAGUAAGGAACGUAUGUAACCAUCCCUCCUGCUUUUACCUUUGUUCCAUUAGGUAAUAUAUCAUCUUCUAAUACUCCUUUUGGAUCCUACGAACAGUAGUAAACAUCGAAUAUACGUUUUUUUUCUUUCUUUGUUUCGAUAUCUCAAUUCACAAAUUUGAUGGAGUUAUAUGGUGUACAUACCUGUGGUACUGCAGGGUAGAGACGAAGUGUUUCUGUCAACACAGCAUGCAAGUAGUGAAGUUUUCCUAAGGAAUCAUAGUUCAAUAGUCCUGCGAAUUGCGUUACCCUCUCGUUGAAGGAAUCGAAAUCCUCUGUUUCGUUAUGAUGCAAUGGUGUGUUAGUCUCUUCUGCUCUUUCUUUUUCGAGUUCUUGUAGCUCUGAGUAAAUUUUCUCGGCAACAUGUUCAUUCAUCAUUAUCAUGUAUAUAGCCCAAGUGAGAGUUGUUGCUGUUGUAUCUCUUCCAGCUAUUACAAAGUUGAGGACAAUAUCUCUUAGGCUUUUCUCAGUUUCUUUACUAUCUGGAUCGUCACUGAUCUCGAUAAACCUCGAGAGUAUAUCAUGCUUGAUCUGAUUACAUGCAUAGGAUUUUGAGAAAAAAUGUUACUACUUUGUGACAAGUUCAUAUACAUAUUUUUGACUUUUAAUAAUUUUUGUACCUUGUUGUUGGCAGGAUGUUUCUGUGCCUCUAAGAACUCUGCUUUCCUCCUUCUUAUGACUGAAUAUGUGAAAUCAUUGACCACUUUUAUGCUCUUAUCAAGCAAUGCCUC